GGAAUUUACAACAGGCGAUUUACAAACGGAUUACUUUAAUGAUUCCGAACAGGAGGAUACUGUUCCAGUUUUUAAGACAAGAGAAAAAUCUACCUUUCAAUUAGUGAUUCAGGGACCGGAAAUUUUAAUUUUUCAGGGCACCAGGUAUUCCCCGGCAGACAUCGCGCCUUACUGGAAAAAGGACUCUCGAAUGUGGUUGUGGAAGUCGGUCAGGCUCGCGAGAAAGCUGAGGAGGAUCAAAGCAAAAACUGCUCCUGCGGGCGCUUUAUAUCGCGAGAAUCUUUCAUAGCAUUUUAUUCGACUAUAUAGAUACGAAUUUUUGAAUCGUAAUUUUAUUUUGUUUUAUAUUUCUUAUAUAUUUUAACGUUUAAACAAUAUUGAUGA